rnacentral:rRNA from 1 species
AUACGUAGGGUGCGAGCGUUAAUCGGAAUUACUGGGCGUAAAGCGUGCGUAGGCGGUUGUGUAAGACAGGUGUGAAAUCCCCGGGCUUAACCUGGGAACUGCGCUUGUGACUGCACGACUCGAGUGUGGCAGAGGGGGGUGGAAUUCCACGUGUAGCAGUGAAAUGCGUAGAGAUGUGGAGGAAUACCGAUGGCGAAGGCAGCCCCCUGGGUUACUACUGACGCUCAUGCACGAAAGCGGUGGGGAGC